AAGAAUAUUAGUCAAUGCUCGCAAGAGUGAACUAGCUAACUGAAAUCACAUGAGUCACUAUGUUGAUGAUUGUGAUAACGUAAGGGAAAAAUUUGAUGUUACCUUACUAUUAGUGUUGUCCAAAACUGGUGCCAGAAGACUCGGUAAGGCCAGAGACGCAAACGUUAGUCGUCCUAAUCAGGCGUAAAGGGUAUGUAGGCUGCUUUAAAAUUAAUUAAAGCUAGGAUCAAAUUGAGGAUAAACCAAAUAAUACUUAGUGUAGGGUUGAUAUCUAUAGAUACUAAGGGGAAUACUAAAGGUGAAAGCUUUUUAUCUAAUAAUGAUUGACGCUGAGAAACGAAGGUGAGAAUAGGAAAUAGGAUUAGAUACCCAGAUACCUCUCACUGUCAACGAUGAAUGGUGGUUGUUAGUUUUAAUAAAAACUGGUAACGAUGUUAACACGAUAACCAUUCCGCCUUGCGAGUACGGUUGCAAAACUGAAACCAAAAAAAUUAGUCGGUCUCGAAGCAAACGAAGUGAAGCAUGUUAUUUAAUUCGAUA
rnacentral:rRNA from 1 species